UACGUAGGGUGCAAGCGUUGUCCGGAAUUAUUGGGCGUAAAGAGCUCGUAGGCGGCUUGUCACGUCGGGUGUGAAAGCCCGGGGCUUAACCCCGGGUCUGCAUUCGAUACGGGCUAGCUAGAGUGUGGUAGGGGAGAUCGGAAUUCCUGGUGUAGCGGUGGAAUGCGCAGAUAUCAGGAGGAACACCGGUGGCGAAGGCGGGUCUCUGGGCCAUUACUGACGCUGAGGAGCGAAAGCGUGGGGAGCGAACAGG
rnacentral:rRNA from 1 species